rnacentral:lncRNA from 1 species
CUUCUGUUGCUUUGUCCACUGAGUAUGAAAAUCUCUUUCCAAAGGGGCUGAGAAAAUUAUCACUCAAACGGAAACUCUGGUUAACCCAACAGUCUUUGAACGUAUCAUGUAGGACUGUAAGUUUGUUGGGCCUUCAAUGAGGGAGUGACUCACACGGACACAUUAACGCUUUUGAGCACAGAGUCAGCAGCUCGAGCAUGAGGAGGAAACUGACUCUGUACACACACACAUAGCUCAUGUUGGAAUGUGUUCAGAACCACAUGCUUGUGACUGAUCCUGAUGUUUUGUCUACGCAGUGACACAGAGUAUGUUUCGCUUCAACACUGAGGAUGAAAAAGUUCCUGAUUUUGACUGUUUGAACAAAUUCGGCCUGCACGUCCAGUGUCCUGAAUCUCCAUGUCUGAGUGACCAAAUUCCUUAUCCAGCAGCACUUGAACAAGAUGCAAGGAUGCAAGGAAUUAAAGUGAGGACAUGUAUAUAACUCUGGAGUUAUCCUCUAUUUUAUUGAUGACAGUUUAGCUCAAUAUUUGGUGCUUUAUACUCAUGUCACACAGUUUUAUCACAAGACCUGAUAAAUGUUUCAGGGCUCUCCUAAGAAUGUUCGGGUCCUGCUUUUUCAUGGUGAUGUGCACUGCAGCAUCUAACCAGUGAGGGAUGUUUGAUUUGGGGCUGUGUCUCUCUGGAGAAAGACCUUCACAAAGGCUGCGUUCACGUAUCCUCUCCCCUGAUUUCCCUCCUCUCUCCUUUCUCCUCUCUCCUCAGGGCAAUGUUGUAAGGGAUCCAGGGCACACCGUUAAUCUAAAGUCUUAGUCCUGACCCAGAAACAGCAUGUCUGACAGUUGCAGUUUUUCUUUUUCCGAAAAGAAAAAGCAAGAUCCUGUGACCUGUGACAACAAAAAUAAAUACCUAUUACCUUCAAACCCAAG